UACGGGGGGGGCAAGCGUUGUUCGGAAUUAUUGGGCGUAAAGAGCUCGUAGGCGGUUUGUCGCGUCUGCCGUGAAAGUCCGGGGCUCAACUCCGGAUCUGCGGUGGGUACGGGCAGACUAGAGUGAUGUAGGGGAGACUGGAAUUCCUGGUGUAGCGGUGAAAUGCGCAGAUAUCAGGAGGAACACCGAUGGCGAAGGCAGGUCUCUGGGCAUUAACUGACGCUGAGGAGCGAAAGCAUGGGGAGCGAACAGG
rnacentral:rRNA from 1 species